GUGCGUUAGGGAUAGUAGUGGAAAUCCUUUUUUGUUUUUUCUUUAAAAACAAAAAAGAUUGAAACGAAUAGCCCGACCCUUG
rnacentral:sRNA from 1 species